GACGAACGCUGGCGGCGUGCUUAACACAUGCAAGUCGAACGGAAAGGCCCUGCUUUUGUGGGGUGCUCGAGUGGCGAACGGGUGAGUAACACGUGAGUAACCUGCCCUUGACUUUGGGAUAACUUCAGGAAACUGGGGCUAAUACCGGAUAGGAGCUCCUGCUGCAUGGUGGGGGUUGGAAAGUUUCGGCGGUUGGGGAUGGACUCGCGGCUUAUCAGCUUGUUGGUGGGGUAGUGGCUUACCAAGGCUUUGACGGGUAGCCGGCCUGAGAGGGUGACCGGCCACAUUAGGACUGAGAUACGGCACAGACUCCUACGGGAGGCAGCAGUGGGGAAUAUUGCACAAUGGGAGGAAGCCUGAUGCAGCAACGCCGCGUGCGGGAUGACGGCCUUCGGGUUGUAAACCGCUUUCGCCUGUGACGAAGCGUGAGUGACGGUAAUGGGUAAAGAAGCACCGGCUAACUACGUG
rnacentral:rRNA from 1 species